GACAGACCUAUUAACACAACUCCUCAUGCCUCUAGUGGCCAGAAGAGGUUACUGCAGUGCUAAGAGCAAUGGUUUGAACUAUCACUUCUAACAGGCGUGUUAACAGCCCAACCGAAGAAACAGCAUGGAUCAUCUGAAGGAGGUUAUAAAAAGAAUCAGGAGCUAGAGACCUUAGUACAGCAGAAAAAGAUGCAAUUAAGCUGAGAUUUUUUUUUUCUAAAGAAGAAACAUGGUUCCAUGGAGAAGAAACAGAGAUAGUUUCCCACGGAACCAGUGAAAAAUGCUGUCAUAAGAAUAGAUCUGAAGAAUGAAAAAGCUGGAUUAGAAGAGAAGAUAACAUUUUAGAAGAGAACAUUAGAAGAAGAAGAGAACAUUUUCUUAGAGGAAAUGAGCCAAGGACACGAUCCCUAAGUAAACCACAUAACCAUAGACUGGUCAAUAUAC